rnacentral:rRNA from 1 species
UAGUGGAGUGAUCUGUCUGGUUAAUUCCGAUAACGAACGAGAUCCUAACCAUUUAAAUAGCGGCAGUGACUGCAAAUGUCACUUGAAGCUUCUUAGAGGAACAAUGUGGAAUAAAUACCACAGGGAAGUGGGGCUAUAACA